rnacentral:rRNA from 1 species
UACGGAGGGUGCAAGCGUUAUCCGGAUUCACUGGGUUUAAAGGGUGCGUAGGAGGGUAGGUAAGUCAGUGGUGAAAUCUUCGAGCUUAACUCGGAACUGCCGUUGAUACUAUCUAUCUUGAAUACCGUGGAGGUGAGCGGAAUAUGUCAUGUAGCGGUGAAAUGCUUAGAUAUGACAUAGAACACCAAUUGCGAAGGCAGCUCGCUACACGAAUAUUGACUCUGAGGUACGAAAGCGUGGGGAUCAAACAGG